CCUACGGGUGGCAGCAGUGGGGAAUAUUGGACAAUGGGCGAAAGCCUGAUCCAGCCAUGCCGCGUGUGUGAAGAAGGCCUUCGGGUUGUAAAGCACUUUCAGUGGGGAAGAAAGCCUUGGGGCUAAUACCCUCGAGGAAGGACAUCACCCACAGAAGAAGCACCGGCUAACUCCGUGCCAGCAGCCGCGGUAAUACGGAGGGUGCGAGCGUUAAUCGGAAUUACUGGGUGUAAAGCGCGCGUAGGCGGUCUGAUAAGCCGGUUGUGAAAGCCCCGGGCUCAACCUGGGAACGGCAUCCGGAACUGUCAGGCUAGAGUGCAGGAGAGGAAGGUAGAAUUCCCGGUGUAGCGGUGAAAUGCGUAGAGAUCGGGAGGAAUACCAGUGGCGAAGGCGGCCUUCUGGACUGACACUGACGCUGAGGUGCGAAAGCGUGGGUAGCAAACAGGAUUAGAUACCCUAGUAGUC
rnacentral:rRNA from 1 species